rnacentral:rRNA from 1 species
UACGGGGGGGGCAAGCGUUGUUCGGAAUUACUGGGCGUAAAGGGCUCGUAGGCGGCCAACUAAGUCGGACGUGAAAUCCCCAGGCUCAACCUGGGAACUGCGUCCGAUACUGGAUGGCUUGAAUUCGGGAGAGGGAUGCAGAAUUCCAGGUGUAGCGGUGAAAUGCGUAGAUAUCUGGAGGAAUACCAGUGGCGAAGGCGGCUUUCUGGUCUGUAACUGACGCUGAGGCGCGAAAGCGUGGGGAGCAAACAGG